GGAGAGAUGGCCGAGUCCGGUCGAAGGCGCACGACUCGAAAUCGUGUGUGCUGCAAGGCACCGUGGGUUCAAAUCCCACUCUCUCCGCCA
rnacentral:tRNA from 1 species